CCAGCAGCAGCGGGUAAUUCCAGCUCCAAUAGCAUAUAUUAAAGUUGUUGCGGUUAAAACGCCCGUAGUUGGAUCAGCGGAUUUGGAGAACGGUCUGCCGAUGGGCUGUACUGUUCUCCUGUCCUAUUUUCUCUAGUUCGCUCUAGGUGCUCUUCACUGAGUGUCUAGAGUGGCUGGAACUUUUACUUUGAAAAAAUUAGAGUGCUCAAAGCAGGCGUCUCAGCCUGAAUAGUGGUGCAUGGAAUAAUGGAAUAGGACCUCAGUUCUAUUUUGUUGGUUUUCGGAACAUGAGGUAAUGAUUAAGAGGGACAGACGGGGGCAUUCGUAUUGCGACGUUAGAGGUGAAAUUCUUGGAUCGUCGCAAGACGAACUACUACGAAAGCAUUUGCCAAGAAUGUUUUCAUUAAUCAAGGACGAUAGUUAGAGGUUCGAAGGCGAUCAGAUACCGCCCUAGUUCUAACCGUAAACGAUGUCAACCAGCGAUCCGCAGGAGUUAUUCAUGACUCUGCGGGCAGCUUCCGGGAAACCAAAGUUUUUGGAUUCCCGGGGGGAGUAUGGUUGCAAAGCUGAAACUUAAAGGAAUUGACGGAAGGGCACCACCAGGAGUGGACCUGCGGCUUAAUUUGACUCAACGCGGGGAAACUCACCCGGCCCGGACACCGUAAGGAUUGACAGAUUGAGAGCUCUUUCUUGAUUCGGUGGGGGUGGUGGUGCAUGGCCGUUCUUAGUUGGUGGAGCGAUUUGUCUGGUUAAUUCCGAUAACGAACGAGACUCUAGCCUACUAAAUAGAAGGCAAAUUAUUCGUUUGCUGUACUUCUUAGAGGGACUAGGGGCGUCUAGCCUCACGAGAUUGAGCAAUAACCAG
rnacentral:rRNA from 1 species